rnacentral:other from 1 species
UCAUUCCUGAGGUGUUCGACACUCCUGUAAUUUUGAACCUACAUGAUGUAAUAAGGGAUUCCUAAUCUGUGAGUGGAUGCCAGGCCGUCGUUUGCAGCGGAAGGCAGAAAUUCACAUGCGGUUACCCACCUAGCCUGGCUAGGAGUCAAAAUAACAGGAGCCGGCAUUUUGGGUGAUUA